UACAGAGGGUGCUAGCGUUAUUCGGAUUCAUUGGGCGUAAAGGGUGCGUAGGCGGCGCGGUAAGUCGGGUGUGAAAUCUUGGAGCUUAACUCCGAAACUGCAUUCGAUACUGCCGUGCUUGAGGACUGGAGAGGAGACUGGAAUUUACGGUGUAGCGGUGAAAUGCGUAGAUAUCGUAAGGAAGACCAGUGGCGAAGGCGGGUCUCUGGACAGUUCCUGACGCUGAGGCACGAAGGCCAGGGGAGCAAACGGG
rnacentral:rRNA from 1 species